AUAUGAUUCUUUGUGAACUCAUAGCAUCGUUGUCACUGUCAUCACAAUCAUCACUGCCAUCACCAUUGUCACCAUCAUCAUUACAGUCACCACUGUUGUCAAGAUGGUCACUGCCAUCACCAUCAUCACCAGAAUCAUCACCAUCAUCACCGCUAUUACUUUCAACACUACCAUUGUCACCACCAUCAUCACCAUCAUCAUCUCAAUCGUGACCAUCAUCACCAUCAUCAUCAUAUACUCUUGUAUUCCCAGUAACACCAAUCUGAGCACCUAUGCCUCUCCUGCUUCUCAUGAGCAUCAGCACUUGGGCCCUAGCCAGCUGCUCAUACCAUAGGUCCUUCACUGUGCCCUGCACAUGGCGAGAAGAGUCCCCACACCCAUUCCACCUUCAGUUUGCCCUUAGAAGUACUAUUUUGCCUCAGGAUUCAGUCCAGGCAUGACCUCUGCUGUGAAAAUCCUCCUCUACCCCACUCUGCUGGCCCCUUGUAGGGUGGGACAUGCAUUUCUCUGCAUACCCAGCCUCUCUCAUAGCACUGAUCUCAUGGUUUGGAAACAGUUGGUCUGCCUGCCCGUGACUUACCUGUGAUCUCCUUAAGGACAAGUCAAGACGUCUUCAUCCUUUUCUGUG
rnacentral:lncRNA from 1 species